AUAUUGUUUUGGAAAAAAAAGAAAUUUUUUUUAUCCUCCCGCAACCGCCCGCAACCGCAAACGCUAGCUGGAACCAGCUUUUGAAUUUAUGAGGUUCUAAGCGAUUUGGAGCGGUUUGGAGCGGUUUAAACGAUUGUUACAAAACGCCAACAACCGCUACCAACCGCAAAAGCUGCGUUUGCGGGUGGUAGCGGGAAAACCAGUCAUACCCUAAAACUAGAUUUUGACCCGCGCUUUCAAAGCGCGGGAUCGAUUCUUUUUAAAAUUUCAUUUAAAUUAAUAAAUAUUUGUCUAAUCUAUAUUUUAAUAGAAUUUUUAUUUGUUUAUAGUCAAUUUUUAUAAUAUUGUCUUCUUUAUUUUUUUAAUUAUUAUUAAAAUCAAAAUGUUUGUUUGUGAAAUAAUUAAUUAGUUAAAAGAUUUUAAAAUGGUAAACUCCUACUCAAUAACUUUAAUCAUAUUGUGAUGAUAUAUUUGGUAAGGUUAUUUAUUUAUAAUUUUGACUUAUUAAAUAAAUAUUAUAUGAAAAAUGUAAUAGACAUUACAUUUUUCAUUCUACAUAUUUUUAAUUAAUGCAUAAAUUUUAAAUUAUAAUAACAGAAAUAUUUAAUAAUAGGAAACCGGUGCUGCCUAUUUAUAAUAUUGAUCGGAUUCAAAGCGAGGUGUUAGGUUUUAGGAGAAAUUUGGGGAUCUUUUCUUUAAAAUCUAAUCUCUCUAUAUUGUAAGAUUAGUUUUUGGAAAAUUCAGUCACCAUGUCAAACAGUUAAAAUAUUUUUCUGUGUGUUCCUCAAGUUGGAGGAUUUUUUUUUAUUUGAUUUGAUUCCGUAAAUCUCUGAGUAAAUGAGAUUUAAAACGACUUAAUGGGCUUAAAAACGAAAAUGUAAGUAGUAAAUUGGUUGGGCUUUUCAUUUUCGAAAAACAUUUAAAACAAUUGAAAAAACAAUUGAAAAAAGAAAUGGAAUGUUUUGUAAUUAAUAAGAAAAUUCAGGGACAGAUUCAUAAGAAGUAUUCUGCUUUAAUAGUAUAGAUCUUGGUGUAUUUUGAUGUAAACUACAGUUGGCCUAAUGAAAUUUUGGUUUACUAUAUAAAAUUUGGGGUUACGCUAAAGUGAGGGCUUAUCAAAGGUCUUAUAUUUUGCAGAAUGAUGAUCCGAUCUGUUUGCAAAAAAAAAAGAUGACUGAUUAAAAUACACAGAUACGUACCUUACUCAAGCAAUAUAGAAUUUUUAUGUCACAUAAUAAAUAAUUCAAGUACGUACACUUUUUGGUUUGUUCUGACGUUAAUGUUUUAAGUUUUGUAGGGUAAUUGCUAUGUAAACAAAGAGAUAAUUCUCAUGUACAUCAACUAAUGGCCAGACCAUUCUGUAAUCUGACCAAACUGUAUGUUGUUUUUAUACUCAUCCUCUGAUGGAAGGACAUGAGUCAAGUCGAACCCAAAGGACAUGAGGCAAAGUCCAACCAAAGCCUUA